CGCGGGGCCGUCUCGGGCGUCCGCCUCCUGCAGCCGCAGGUGGCCGCGGGCGUGCGGUGCGCGCGGGGGCCUGUCCGCUCGGUCCGCCGGCCUGCACCCGCACUCUGCGGGCGUCUGGUGCUGCUGGGCGGGACCAGGCCCGGCCGGCCCGGACGGCCC